UCAAAUAUUGUCAAACAUUCAAACUUGUUUUAAACCUUCCCUCUCCCCUCUUUGUUUUAUUCUGAAAGUUCAGCAAAGAAAAGAGAAAUAGAGAAGCACAAACGGAAGACACAGGGAAAAGAGAAAGAAGCACUAGCCCAUCUGGUUCACUUCCUGUUUGGCCUCUUCCUCCUCUAGUUCACGCGAGAGGCGAAUGUCUGCUCACGUCACAGCACCACUAGCGCUACUUUCUCCUCCUCUUUAAUCCCCAGAAUCGAAGCCUCCUGCAAACCCUACCUCUCUUCCUCCCAGCCACGCCGCCACAUGCUUUUCCCUCCUCGAAGCAAACAGAGAAGGCAGAAAACGAGGUUCAGACCACCGAGCACACCGUCACCUCGUCGCCAUGGAGCUGCCGCUCCAGACCGCCCCUCGUCGAGCAGAAGGCACCAGGAUCUCCGCGUCGUCGUCCUCACCACCCCUGUGUGAGGAAUCGAGAUGGGACUCAGUAAUUCGAGCGCAAGGUCGCCGAUUCCCCGCGCCGGUCGCCAUGAUUCUUCUUCGAUUCUAACCGCCGCUGACCUUCCCCGGCCAGUCCGAGGCCUCCAUCUCGAUCAUGAAAUUUGUCGCCGGCGACUCUCCGUGGAACCCUUGUCCCGGCGCCUACUCCACCACUUCCGUCCAGUCGGGGCGCACGCCCGAUGCCCUCUUCUCCCUGGCCGUUCGCCCUCCGUCGUCAGGGCCAUGCUCGACGCCAUCUUCUCCGAGCCGUGCGUCCCCCCUGUUAUGCAUCUCCGUCAGGUAGAGGUGUCUCGGACAGUUAACUUGUCCAAAAAUCUGCAGCGGUCUGUACCUACUGAACAUCUGAAUUUCAGAUUCCACACCCCUGGAGAUAGUUCUUUCUACGCAUGAUCCAAACAAUUCCAGCAUCGUCAAAGCAGCCCAGUGGCUACGGCCUUGAUCUUUUUCACGAUGGUAUCAGCAUCAAGUCCAAGCGUAGGUGCUGCUUCAGUGCUUCUAUUCGCCGUUACAGGCCAGCAUUUGCUUCUUCCCGGAUAGGAUCGCGAAGUGGUGUUGUGAGAUACGACGAGUUCUCCGGAUGUCCCUCGGCAAGCUUUAACAGGCAAGCAUUUCCCCUAUACUUCUGCCCCUGCAGAAGUCGCUCACCUAUUUUAUUUUGCCUUCUCCCUCAUGCUAUCCUUGAGUUGCGUUCUUGUCACGUGUCCCUUCCACUUGUUACCUCAAGCAGCCUAUAUUGCCUCCACCAACCACCUACAGCUAUUGCUUGGUUA